rnacentral:rRNA from 1 species
UACGAAGGGGGCAAGCGUUGUUCGGAAUUAUUGGGCGUAAAGGGCGCGUAGGCGGUUCGGCAAGUCUUUAGUGAAAUCUCCUGGCUCAACUGGGAGCUUGCAGGCGAAACUGCCGUGCUGGAGUGUGGGAGAGGUGCGUGGAAUUCCUGGUGUAGCGGUGAAAUGCGUAGAUAUCAGGAGGAACACCUGUGGCGAAAGCGGCGCACUGGACCACAACUGACGCUGAGGCGCGAAAGCUAGGGGAGCAAACAGG